rnacentral:rRNA from 1 species
UACGAAGGGGGCUAGCGUUGCUCGGAAUUACUGGGCGUAAAGGGCGCGUAGGCGGACAGUUAAGUCAGAGGUGAAAGCCCAGGGCUCAACCCUGGAAUUGCCUUUGAUACUGGCUGUCUUGAGUGCGGGAGAGGUGUGUGGAACUCCGAGUGUAGAGGUGAAAUUCGUAGAUAUUCGGAAGAACACCAGUGGCGAAGGCGACACACUGGCCCGUAACUGACGCUGAGGCGCGAAAGCGUGGGGAGCAAACAGA